UGAAAGGGAUACGUUCUUCGGACAAUAUACAAGGUGCUGCAUGGUUGUCGUCAGCUCGUGCCGUGAGGUGUCGGGUUAAGUCCCGAUAACGAGCGCAACCCCUAUCACUUAGUUGCCAUCAGGUCAAGCUGGGGACUCUAAUGAAACUGCCUACGCAAGUAGUGAGGAAGGUGGGGAUGACGUCAAAUCAGCACGGCCCUUACGUCCAGGGCUACACACGUGCUACAAUGGUCGGUACAAAGGGUUGCCAAGCCGCGAGGUGGAGCUAAUCCCAUAAAACCGAUCGUAGUCCGGAUCGCAGUCUGCAACUCGACUGCGUGAAGUCGGAAUCGCUAGUAAUCGUGAAUCAGAAUGUCACGGUGAAUACGUUCCCGGGCCUU
rnacentral:rRNA from 1 species